CCGGGACCAAGACCAGGACCCGGACCGGGACCCGAACCCGGACCAGGACCAAGACCAGGACCGAGACCCGGACCAGGACCAGGACCCAGACCCGGAAUAGGGCUGUGACCAGAACUCAUACAAUAUAAGAUCAGUCUCUUCCAUAACACAAUAAACACAAGGACUCAAAGAAUAGAAGCAGCAGACAUUAGUAAUCAUAAACAGGUGGGCAUAUAUCUUUAAUAACUGAACAUGUUCUGCUGCCGUGUUGUUCCUCACAGAACACAUGGGCCUAAUCCUAAAGGACUCACAGAUUUAAUUUAUCUCAGGUGCUAAUUAACCUUAGUGAGUGAGUGUGUGAGGCCACAUGGGCUCAAAUAGGUAUAUAUGGGAUUGGGUCAGCACUUCACGAGAGCACAUGUUACCUUGGCAACGUUUAAUGACAAAGAUGACACUUGCCGGUUAGGGAAUUUUCAAUUUGAGUUUAUUUUUGAAAAUGCAAUGAAAACAAUCGGCUACAGCAAUUUAUUGAUAUAAGAAAAUAUAAUUUCUACUUUUCAAUACUUCAGUAUAAAGGAUGUAUUGAAUAGUUUAGGUGAUUAUUGGCCUACAGACACUAGUCAUAAGUCAGAACGGGCUGCAAUUGGCUGAAAAAGGUACAAGUAGUAAUAUGAAGAGCCAAAAGAUCCGGCUCUUGUUGGUGAGCUGAUCCAAAUGAUCUGGCUUGCUAAAACAAGGCCGAAAUUCCCCAUCUGGUCUCGCAUUGACUGUAGCGUCGUUUUGUUGUUUACCUUCCUAAUUUCACUGUGGUCUCCGCGGUAAACGUCACAACGCUUUGAACUGCAGGUAAUUCCCUUAGGCUUAGGUGAAGUCAUUCACUGAUGCGGACUCACGGAAAGGGUUCAGUAAGUGUGGACUCAAACCCUCACGCCCUUUGGAACUCGACAUUGGGACAGCCCUAAAGCCUUAAAGGAGGCAUAUUAUACCACAAGGUAUGAGUUUGAUUAGCCUUACAAUCCGUUUCAAAUAUCUGCCUCAUGUGACAACACUUUUGGGCGUUUCCACCUAGAUCUGUGCUAAGGAUGUCAUAUGAGGCAGAUUUUCGAAACGGCUUGUAAGGCUAAUCACAGUCACACCUGGUGGUAUAAUAAGUCUCCUUUAAUAAUUUCGCGAGAACGCGCAGCAAAGUCUGUGAGUCCGUGAGUCCGGACAUUGGGAUUGGGCCAAGGAAUCAAUACUCAGUUUAAAGUCAUCACAACUAGGGUUGGGUAUCGUUUGGACAGCUUGCAUUAUAUAGGUCUGCAUUAAAUCAGGUUCUAUAUUAGGC